UACGGGGGGGCAAGCGUUGUUCGGAAUUACUGGGCGUAAAGGGCGCGUAGGCGGUUGGAUAAGUCAGCUGUGAAAACCACGGGCUUAACUCGUGGCCUGCAGUUGAGACUGUCUGGCUUGAGUGUGGGAGAGGAGACUGGAAUUCCUGGUGUAGCGGUGGAAUGCGCAGAUAUCAGGAGGAACACCGAUGCGGAAGGCAGGUCUCUGGGCAAUUCCUGACGCUGAGGCGCGAAAGCGUGGGGAGCAAACAGG
rnacentral:rRNA from 1 species